rnacentral:lncRNA from 1 species
UUUAUCUUAUCGAUUGUUAAAUAAAAUACUGUUUGGCCAAUGAGACAGCAGUUAGACGGAACUAGGCGUCAAAGAGGAUUCUGGGAAAUGUAGUAGAGAAGGGCUGAUCCAGGCAGGAAGUGACAUGGCAAGGAGACUCAUAUCUAAGCGAGGAAACAGGAAGUAUGCUCUCUUUUUCCCUCCGCUCCUGCUCUAGCGGCACAAAGUGAUCCACCGGCAAGAGAGAUGCCAAUAAGGCAUCCGAUAAAAUAAGUCUUAUAAAAUAUAUAGGUUUAUGAUAGUUAAGGCUGAGCUAGCAGAUGAGAAUCCUAGUCAUUGGCCAAGCAGCAUUGAACCUAAUACAAGUUUCUGUGUAUUCAUUUGGGCCUAACUUGGGCAGGCGGCUGGCGUAAAGCUCACAUGUGGCAGUGGGGCUCAGCGGCUUUUGGCGGAAAGAUUUAUAACAUAGGCCCUACCUCCUAAAGUUCCUAGGACUUUCCAAAACGUCACCAUUGUUCGGGCACCAAGCAUUCAGCACAUCUUGUACUUGAACCAUGACAUCUUACCAAGGACAACUCCAAAGGAGCACCCUGAGAAGAUGAAAGGGAGAACAGUCAAGGAUCAAAAGCUUCCUUUCCACAUUCUUCCCCUGUCUUAAUAAAUGGAAUGAGAGCGAUUACCCAAAUACUAAUUAUUCACAUCCUCAUAGUUCCAAGGCCCAGUAACAAAAGUCAUAACUAUGCAAAAAGACGUUGUGUGAGCCCCCACCCUUAUCCAUCACUCCCCUCUCACCUACCACACGAAGCCCCUUUUGGACCAGUCUCCUGUCUAAUGAGUGUGGGGAUAUGGUAAACAUCUGGCAGAGUGAUGCAAACUAUUUCAAAGUCUACUUUCAGAUCUUCCAAAAAUCUAAUGGCAGGGCACUGAGGACAACUGGAGCUGGAGAAUUGCUCAUUCUGCUGAACGUAGUGGAAGCAUGCCAGGUCACCAUGGGAAAAACAAGAAAUUAAAGUAGAUAGUGACCCCAGGGAAGGGGAAACAAUGAAUGAACCAAACAAGAGACAUUGUCAGGGAAAUUUAUAGAGCUCCUGAAUACUUUGAGAUGCUCCUUCAGGGCUGGAGAGAGGGUUUAGUCAGUAGAGAGCUUGCCAUGUCAACAUGAGGACCUGAGCUUAGCUGGGCAGGUGUAAAACGUGGGCAGGUGACAUGUGUCUGUACCCCCAGCUCUAAGAAGGCAGAGACCGGUGAAUUCCUGUCGUCCCAGGUUUAAUGAGAUAACCUGUUUCAAAAAAUCAGAUGGAAGCGUUGGAGAGAUGCCUGAGAGGUUAAGAGUACUUGGUUUUGCAGAGGACACCUCAUGGUGGCUCAAACCAUCUAUAAAUCUGCUUCUAGAGGGUAAGAUGCCCUCUUGUGACCUCCGUGGGCUCCUGGCAUGCACAAGGUCCAUACACCUAUAGGCAAAAUACUUACACACAUUGAAAACAUUUGAGAAAAAUAAAAUGAGAGUGACUGAAGCAGACACUUGAAGAGGACUUUUGGUUUCCAUCUGCACAUACAUGUACACACACACACACAUGCUCAUCUGUAUACACACCAACAUACUAUACAUACAAAGUUAAUUAGUUGAAAGAAAACAAAAUGCCCUGUUUGCACUGUUGACUGGAAAAGUGAAGACUGUAAUGCUGUUACACAGUCAUUUGAUUAAAAAAUUUCCAAAGCAAAUGAUGUAUUUCUUUGCUCAAACUAAGAAUGAAUGCAUGUUUAUAAUUAUAAUUUUUA